rnacentral:rRNA from 1 species
UACGUAGGGGGCAAGCGUUGUCCGGAUUUAUUGGGCGUAAAGAGCUCGUAGGCGGUUUGGUAAGUUGGAUGUGAAAUCUCCAGGCUCAACUUGGAGGGGUCAUUCGAUACUGCCAUGACUAGAGUUCGGUAGGGGAGUGUGGAAUUCCUGGUGUAGCGGUGAAAUGCGCAGAUAUCAGGAGGAACACCGGUGGCGAAGGCGGUGGUCUGGGCCGGCACUGACGCUGAGGAGCGAAAGCGUGGGUAGCAAACAGG